GAUGAACGCUGGCGGCAGGCUUAAUACAUGCAAGUUGAACGGUAACAUGUUGUAGCAAUACGAUGAUGACGAGUGGCGCACGGGUGCGUAACACGUGUGUAACCUACCUUAUACAGGAACAUAACGUUGAGAAAUCGGCGCUAACAUUCCAUAAUAUUAUUUGUAGGCAUCUAUGAAUAAUUAAAACUCCGGUGGUAUAAGAUGGGCACGCGUUCCAUUAGCUAGUUGGUAAGGUAACGGCUUACCAAGGCAACGAUGGAUAGGGGUUCUGAGAGGAUAAUCCCCCACACUGGAACUGAGACACGGUCCAGACUCCUACGGGAGGCAGCAGUAAGGAAUAUUGGGCAAUGGAGGCAACUCUGACCCAGCCAUGCCGCGUGCAGGAAGACGGCCCUAUGGGUUGUAAACUGCUUUUAAUAGGGAUUAAAGUCGACUACGUGUAGUUGUUUGCAAGUACCUAUAGAAUAAGCAUCGGCUAACUCCGUGCCAGCAGCCGC
rnacentral:rRNA from 1 species